GACGAACGCUGGCGGCGUGCUUAACACAUGCAAGUCGAACGGUGAAGCGCCUUCCUUUUUGGUGGGUGUGGAUGAGUGGCGAACGGGUGAGUAACACGUGAGUAACCUGCCCCCUUCUUCUGGAUAACCGCAUGAAAGUGUGGCUAAUACGGGAUAUUCUGGGUCUGUCGCAUGAUGGGUCUGGGAAAGAUAUUGUUUCGGUGGGGGAUGGGCUCGCGGCCUAUCAGCUUGUUGGUGGGGUGAUGGCCUACCAAGGCGGUGACGGGUAGCCGGCCUGAGAGGGGGGGCGGGCAGACGGGGACAGAGCGGCGACAGGGACUCCAACGGGCGGCAGCGGGGGGGGGGAGGGGAUGGUGGGCGUAGGGCUGGUGCCGGGGGGCGGCGGGGGAGAGGGCGUCCGUCGGGUGGGGAUGCUCUUUCGCCAGUGAAGCAGGCAGGCCUGGUUAGUGGGGGGGUUGACGGUAGCUGGAGAAGAAGCGCCGGCUAACUACGUG
rnacentral:rRNA from 1 species